AAAUAAAGGCAAAAUGCAUAUGGCAAUAAAAUCUCUUAUUAGGCAGUUGCAUAGGCGGCUAACAAACAUCUACACUAUAAUAUAGUACAAAGUCUGUUUUCACCUCUUCAUUUAGUAUUAUUAUAUUAUUUGGAAAACAUUGUUAGUAAUAUCAAAGAUAAUUAUGCAAUAACUAGCCUACUGGCUUACAAAAAUUCCCAUUUAAUUUUCUGAUACACAAAUAGUUUGCGUUUUUUGCUAUUUUGAUGCGAAACAUUUGAAUCUAAACAUUCAUUUUAUUAAAACUGUAUCAUUUUUGUACAGUAAUCGCACCUGAAGAUGCAACUACAAAGUUGUGAAACCAGUUGUGCGGGUCUCCACGGCUCUAAUAAAGAAACUGCUUAAGUGGAGCAACAGCCUUUCAUUCAGACAACUGUGAUUUUAUUUUAACACCCACAUUUUCACUGUGUGAAAGUUCCUUAACUAUGUAUAAAUAUUUUAGCUAUGACAAUCACUGUCAUUUCAAACUCUUCUAUUGUUCUGUGUUUGCGUUACAAAUGUGGGAUUGUGGGUCCACCUUCAAGCAAAGAUUUGUUAUUUUCAUGAACUAUAAUAUACUACAAUAUGUUUCAUAGUUUGUAAAUAUAUACUACAAUAUGUUUCACAGUUUGGUAAAUAUGUCUUUCCUGCAUUCUUUUAGAUUAAAAAAAAAACCACUGGGGAUAGGAGGUUUUCCGCCAUAACUAGUUUGGGUAUAAAAAUAAGAAUAACAAGUGUUUUGCAUCAAGGCAGAUACACAAUUCCACAUUAAAGCUGCGAUUGCCCUUCAUACAUAAUUCUCUGUUCAUUUAGUAGCCCUUAAACGUACCCAUGUGUUGUUAAAAUUAGCAGUGUCGGAUCUGAUAUAUACUAAUUAUUAUACAGUCAAAUGUAUUUUAGAUGCUAAAGUAGUGAGUUUAUGUAGCACCACUCUUUUUAUCCUGUAGAAAUUCGAGCCGGUUCAUCUAAGACAAUGUAUGUGAUUGUGUUUUUUAUUAAGUGUGUCCUGGGUAGUUGAUUGUGUAUAUAAUUAGGUCUCAAAAUGAUACAUGAUAGCAAACUUUCGAGAAUAUUCUUUUGUUCUAUUUUGAGGACUUUAUACCAGAAUUCAGAAUGCAGUAUCGAAAAUUGCCAUGCUUUUGGAAUUUGUGUUCAAUGUAGCAAUGUCAUUAUUCAGAAUAAUAGCACCAGAAGUACUUAUGCUGUGUAAAAAGUAAGCAAUGAAUGUGUGCCAUUUUCAGUGGAAAAAUUGUUAAGUCAUUCAGAGGUGUACAUUUGUUGUAAUAACAUUUAAUUUUCAUGUGGAUAUGGAUGUCUUAAAGGCAACACUGUUGACUCUUGAGGGGCAUUAGUAAUCUGUGCUCUGUCAGUGUUGUAGAACAGUUUAUAGCCCAUUACUCCUAAAAUUUUGUGUUGUCAGAGUUUCUUAGAAAGAGAAAAUGACGAUUUUUAUUACAUACACAGAUGUUACUUGAAAAAAUUUGUUUGAUAUUAUGGACUGUUGAUUUCCGCAUGCAAACUAGAGGAAAACUGGUGCCAUAACAUGAAUUCCAGUGCAAUAAUUUGCUAAUAUUAUUUAUUUAUUUUGAACUAGCUGCUAAACCCGGUAUUGCCUGGUUAUAUAUGCCUUUUUGCAUUCUUAUAUUAGAAAUGAAAAUAAAUAUUCCAAAAGCAUUUCAUCUUCAUAUUAUCAAGAAAACUGCUUAUAAAUUAUGAAAC
rnacentral:lncRNA from 1 species